AAAAAUUUGACUUCUUUUAACUUUCUUUCAAGGAUCUGCCGCUGAGGGCCACCGAAUAAUCUAGAGCACUACCCACCCCAAUCCAUCGCUCCUUCCCUAAUAAUCUUGAGAGGGAGAGAGAGAGAUGGAGAGAAAGAGGAGCUGCACUGGAGUCUCUUUUCUCCCAGCUUGCACAAUGCGUACACUCCUGAAUUAUUUAAUCAAGUUACAAGGAAAUUCAUUAACAAUACUGAAAAAGGUCUGCCUAUAUUGCUUCUAAUUGCCAACAAUUGAACUUUAUAAAAAAAAUGUACAUUCAGGAAAAAUAGUAAUUUUUGUUUUGCAAUUUGCCAAAUAUUUUGUACAUGCCAAAAAACUAUAGAUAUGCAUGACACACCUCUUAAGGGACAUUAGCCGCAAUUCUGAUCUUCCGACGGUCCUUGGACGGAUUCCUAGGGUAUGAGAAUUCAUAAGACAAAAAGCAGGAACACUACCUGAACUGGUUUUCGUCAUGGUGGACUGUCUGGUUAGAUCAAACACAUACCUUAUAUUUUAUUAUGUUUUGCUUCAUGUAAAAAGCUUAGGACCGUGUCUAAUGAAAAAUUAAGUUAUUCUGACAGGGAACUACCAUGGAGUAAAUGGUGCCACAACAUAAAACAAACAAGUUCAAGAAUAAACUGAAAGCAAGGCGCUCUCUACCGAAUUCGAAAUUUUGAUCUUCAGGAUGCCAAGAAGAUUUACAAAGCAGUGACUUUCCGUUGAGAAUUUGCUUGCUAAAAAAAUAUUGGCAGUAGAGAUGCAGUCUGAGCUAGAGAAUUUCUCCAUCUUUGCUUACACUAUCUUCAAUUUUUUAGUAUUGGCAAUGUGAAUACAGCAAAACACUUUGCUGUCAGGUAAAUAUUUCUAGAAGCAAUUCAAGUAGCACUAUAUGCAAGUAAAAAUGAGAGCUGAUAUGCAGUUAUUGUUUUUCUCUUGCGAAACCAACAACAAGCAUUUAGAUGGGCUGUUUCACAAGCGCGGCGUGCCGCCGCGCCUCUGCCCGCUAGUAUAAUCAUAUAAUGGGCAAAGCACAAGUUUCCAGUAUAGGAUAUGCAUACACACACAAAUGUGGAUCAAAUUUCAUUGGCUAGAAGCAAUAUAUCAUGUAAAUGCAGAAUAAAUUGAUCCAAGGCCAAAGAACCAUGAUAUGCAUCAUGUGACAGUAGCAUCAUUUAAGGGAAAAUACUCUGCCAGGAGAUUGAGAGCAUACAGGCUGAUGACUACAUUGACCUUUAGCGAAUUAGCAUCACUCUUUUUCAGUUUUGACGGCAAAAUAACAGGAAGAAAGGUCCCAAUCUGAAUAAAUGAAACUUACAGUAUGCAUGUCGGUAUUAUCCAGCGUCAUUGGUGCAAUGUCCGAGAGCUAAACCUCCUUGGCCUCCACCUUAGUUAGAUCGGACACCUUUGGCACCUACACGCGCACACACAGCAGAGACAUCAAAACCAGGCCAAAUCAAACAGAGGUCACACCAACAUAUAAUUCUACAACGAGGAGGGCAAUCAUGGUGAUGCUGCAACUAAGUCCCCCUUCUUCGUCCUUCCUUUCACUGGUGUUAAUGCACAGCACAAUCAGCUAGGUACAAAUAAAUCUACUGAAUCACGUGAGACUGUCCCCUCUUAAAUUUGGAGAUGAAAACAGGUUUAGUCAGAAUUGGCAGUAUUUGUACAGAUUAAUGCACAUGCAUUUGUUACAAUAUCAAGCCAAAGUGAAUAUAUAGUUUCAGUUUUGUAUAAAUACACCUCUAUGCCAAUUUGCCUUAGAUUAUUUCACUAACUAAAAAGAGUUGUACAGAAAGAGGGUAAACAAACUAACUAAAAAGACAAAAAGAUGAAAAUCCUACAGGUAAGCAAAGCAACCCCUAAGAGAGAAAAUACCCUCUUUAUGAACAUGACUCUUUAUCAUAUAGCAUCCAGUUCUUGUCACGUUGACAAAACGUGGAAAACUAUUAGUCUGCCCAUGAUGUAAUGCUAGGAAUUGUUCGAUUUUACGGUUUCUCUGGGAGAAAUUAAUGCUAUGUUGCAGCAACACAUGCAGAAGUUUUGAACCUUUUGAUCCUACCAAGUGCAUCAUUCAACUCACACAUGCAAAUAUUGGCAAUGUGAUAUAUACAUGCAACUAAAAAGUACUUUAUGAGAACAAUUAUGUUAUUCCAGAAAUGCUAACUUGAGUUUACCUUAACUCUGAUGUAAUACGAAGCUUCGUAAAAGAUAAGCAAACACGUACGAUCACUGCUACUCUAAGUAGACUUACGCAAAAAAAUAAAGACCAGAGCAGUAACUAUCAAUCAGAUUUAUCGCAAAGUGAAUCCCCACCACCCCCUAACUGAAAAAGGUAAUGAUAUUGGCAUUUAUAUUACUGAAAGUACAGUACACAUAAGCUAUAUAUAUAUACUUUUAGUUUUGCUACUCUAUGUUCAGGAAGUAAACAUGGGUUCGGGAGAUAAACUCAUAUGUUCAGAAUAGAUCCAACUGGGAAAGGCUUGUUACACUUCAAAUAUAUGUUGAAAAGCACACAUAUCCAACAUAAGUUGUUUGUAGUACACGCUGAGAUAUCUAUUCAUGUGUAUGCCACUGCAAAGCUAAUUGAUAACUGAACAAAUGAUUCUUUCCGGUGAUUAGCUUUCAAGGGUAGAGAUGUCUGCAGUACGAAUGAUUUUUCCAUGAGGCCAAGCUCAUGUCAGAAAUUCCUACAGCAUAAAAGAGCCUAACAAUUUCCAUUUGCAUAGCAACCGCAGCUAUUUGUUAAUAAAGUUUUUACAAACCCAACAGAUCAAAUAUGAAGAUAUCCAUGCGAAGAGUUGACACUUGAAUAGUCUAAUAAAACUGGAAUCGAGAUGUACAUUUCGGCAAGGAUACAACUCACUUCCCUAAGAAGAAAUCGUGGCUUGCUUUCCUACUGCAAGUCCCAGAUCGAGUUGCAACCUAUGCUUUGGCCCAUUGCAGGAGUAGCGGCCAAAGUUCAGCCAAGCUAGCAAACAAUAGUGUUAUGUAUGCAAUGCAAUACAAGCAGGGACCAUGGAUGAUAUCUUUGUAGAGCUAGUGGUAAAAACAUAUAAUUAAACUAUACUACUUUGCAACAACAUAAUACAAAAUAUAUGAUGCCCACUGCCCACUGAAAAGGAACCAGAAUUCUAACUUGUUCCAUCAACUGAAUUCUGAAAUCUGUAAAGCUUGCUCUACUUGUCCAAAUCAAGCAAAUGAGCACACUACGGAUAUCAUCAGGAAAUUCAUGUUGCGACGAAAAACUGGUUCUGCCUGUAAUAAGUAGACUAAUUCUUGCAAAACAUAAAUCUGCUUGGACAGAAAAUCCUCUAAGACUAAUAAGCAUAACUGUUAUUUGGGGAUAUCUUGACCAUCAUUAUUCUGAAAUUGCACAAACUUAGUACCUUUUGAUUAAACAGGGGAUUCCAUUCAGUGAAUAUCAAGGGGAUACAUACCUCUGGUGUAGCUCAGGCGACAAUGGACGGCUGGACGGAUGUUCUUGUUCCUCCGGCGAACUCGACGCUUCUUCCUCGGGCGAACUUGGCAGCGUCGGAGAAUGAGAAGAAUACGACGGAGGAGUCCGGAGAGGACUG
rnacentral:lncRNA from 1 species